GAUGAACGCUGGCGGCAUGCCUAACACAUGCAAGUCGAACGAGACCUUCGGGUCUAGUGGCGCACGGGUGCGUAACGCGUGGGAAUCUGCCCUGGGGUGCGGAAUAACUCGGAGAAAUCCGUGCUAAUACCGCAUAAUGUCUUCGGACCAAAGAUUUAUUGCCCUGGGAUGAGCCCGCGUAGGAUUAGCUAGUUGGUGAGGUAAAGGCUCACCAAGGCGACGAUCCUUAGCUGGUCUGAGAGGAUGAUCAGCCACACUGGGACUGAGACACGGCCCAGACUCCUACGGGAGGCAGCAGUGGGGAAUAUUGGACAAUGGGCGAAAGCCUGAUCCAGCAAUGCCGCGUUGAGUGAUGAAGGCCUUAGGGUUGUAAAGCUCUUUUACCAGGGAUGAUAAUGACAGUACCUGGAGAAUAAGCUCCGGCUAACUCCGUGCCAGCAGCCGCAGUAAUACGUCUACUG
rnacentral:rRNA from 1 species